AACGCUGGCGGCGUGCUUAACACAUGCAAGUCGAACGAUGAUCCCAGCUUGCUGGGGGAUUAGUGGCGAACGGGUGAGUAACACGUGAGUAACCUGCCCUUGACUCUGGGAUAAGCCUGGGAAACUGGGUCUAAUACCGGAUACGACCAUCUGGCGCAUGUCAUGGUGGUGGAAAGCUUUUGUGGUUUUGGAUGGACUCGCGGCCUAUCAGCUUGUUGGUGGGGUAAUGGCCUACCAAGGCGACGACGGGUAGCCGGCCUGAGAGGGUGACCGGCCACACUGGGACUGAGACACGGCCCAGACUCCUACGGGAGGCAGCAGUGGGGAAUAUUGCACAAUGGGCGCAAGCCUGAUGCAGCGACGCCGCGUGAGGGAUGACGGCCUUCGGGUUGUAAACCUCUUUCAGUAGGGAAGAAGCGAAAGUGACGGUACCUGCAGAAGAAGCGCCGGCUAACUACGUGCCAGCAGCCGCGGUAAUACGUAGGGCGCAAGCGUUAUCCGGAAUUAUUGGGCGUAAAGAGCUCGUAGGCGGUUUGUCGCGUCUGCUGUGAAAGACCGGGGCUCAACUCCGGUUCUGCAGUGGGUACGGGCAGACUAGAG
rnacentral:rRNA from 1 species